rnacentral:rRNA from 1 species
UACGUAGGGUGCGAGCGUUGUCCGGAAUUAUUGGGCGUAAAGGGCUCGUAGGCGGUUUGUCACGUCGGGAGUGAAAACUCGGGGCUUAACUCCGAGCCUGCUUCCGAUACGGGCUGACUAGAGGUAUGCAGGGGAGAACGGAAUUCCUGGUGUAGCGGUGAAAUGCGCAGAUAUCAGGAGGAACACCGGUGGCGAAGGCGGCUACCUGGCCCAACAUUGACGCUGAGACCCGAAAGCAUGGGGAUCAAACAGG